CAGUCGCCGCGGGAAUACGUAGGGUGCGAGCGUUAAUCGGAAUUACUGGGCGUAAAGCGUGCGCAGGCGGUUUUGUAAGACAGAGGUGAAAUCCCCGGGCUCAACCUGGGAACUGCCUUUGUGACUGCAAGGCUAGAGUACGGCAGAGGGGGAUGGAAUUCCGCGUGUAGCAGUGAAAUGCGUAGAUAUGCGGAGGAACACCGAUGGCGAAGGCAAUCCCCUGGGCCUGUACUGACGCUCAUGCACGAAAGCGUGGGGAGCAAACAGGAUUAGAUACCCGCGUAGUCCCUGUCUCUUAUAC
rnacentral:rRNA from 1 species